CAGGCCAGCCCAUCUCCAGCGGUCACUUCUGUCACCGACGGCCUGGGAGGAAGCCGAGUUUCCAUCUGAGCGUGGUCAUGGAUAUCAGCACCAGGAGUCGCCAAGAUACAUGAGGGAAGAAAUGAAUUUAAAGGAGCAGGAAGUCAAAACAGCACAAACAAAUGAGGAGGAUGUGACUGAGUUAUCCCUGUAUCAAUCAUUUCUUCGUAAUUUUUAAAAAAAAAAGAAAACCCCACGAAACCUGACAUCACUUAAUUCCAAGGAAAGGAACAUCUGCACCGGUAUCUGUAACCUCCCAUCUCUCACGCUUCAGUCCACACUGGGAAGGUCACUUCUCCUCGUUCCACCAAAGAUCUGGAGUUUGGACCAGACCAUAGAUUUUACUUAAUACUUUGAAGAAGUUGAAGGAUUUCCAUAUACUUGAAGGUAAG